GGGUUGUGAGGUUAAGCGACUAAGCGUACACGGUGGAUGCCCUGGCAGUCAGAGGCGAUGAAGGACGUGCUAAUCUGCGAUAAGCGUCGGUAAGGUGAUAUGAACCGUUAUAACCGGCGAUUUCCGAAUGGGGAAACCCAGUGUGAUUCGUCACACUAUCAUUAACUGAAUCCAUAGGUUAAUGAGGCGAACCGGGGGAACUGAAACAUCUAAGUACCCCGAGGAAAAGAAAUCAACCGAGAUUCCCCCAGUAGCGGCGAGCGAACGGGGAGCAGCCCAGAGCCUGAAUCAGUGUGUGUGUUAGUGGAAGCGUCUGGAAAGGCGCGCGAUACAGGGUGACAGCCCCGUACACAAAAAUGCACAUGCUGUGAGCUCGAUGAGUAGGGCGGGACACGUGGUAUCCUGUCUGAAUAUGGGGGGACCAUCCUCCAAGGCUAAAUACUCCUGACUGACCGAUAGUGAACCAGUACCGUGAGGGAAAGGCGAAAAGAACCCCGGCGAGGGGAGUGAAAAAGAACCUGAAACCGUGUACGUACAAGCAGUGGGAGCACGCUUAGGCGUGUGACUGCGUACCUUUUGUAUAAUGGGUCAGCGACUUAUAUUCUGUAGCAAGGUUAACCGAAUAGGGGAGCCGAAGGGAAACCGAGUCUUAACUGGGCGUUAAGUUGCAGGGUAUAGACCCGAAACCCGGUGAUCUAGCCAUGGGCAGGUUGAAGGUUGGGUAACACUAACUGGAGGACCGAACCGACUAAUGUUGAAAAAUUAGCGGAUGACUUGUGGCUGGGGGUGAAAGGCCAAUCAAACCGGGAGAUAGCUGGUUCUCCCCGAAAGCUAUUUAGGUAGCGCCUCGUGAAUUCAUCUCCGGGGGUAGAGCACUGUUUCGGCAAGGGGGUCAUCCCGACUUACCAACCCGAUGCAAACUGCGAAUACCGGAGAAUGUUAUCACGGGAGACACACGGCGGGUGCUAACGUCCGUCGUGAAGAGGGAAACAACCCAGACCGCCAGCUAAGGUCCCAAAGUCAUGGUUAAGUGGGAAACGAUGUGGGAAGGCCCAGACAGCCAGGAUGUUGGCUUAGAAGCAGCCAUCAUUUAAAGAAAGCGUAAUAGCUCACUGGUCGAGUCGGCCUGCGCGGAAGAUGUAACGGGGCUAAACCAUGCACCGAAGCUGCGGCAGCGACGCUUAUGCGUUGUUGGGUAGGGGAGCGUUCUGUAAGCCUGCGAAGGUGUGCUGUGAGGCAUGCUGGAGGUAUCAGAAGUGCGAAUGCUGACAUAAGUAACGAUAAAGCGGGUGAAAAGCCCGCUCGCCGGAAGACCAAGGGUUCCUGUCCAACGUUAAUCGGGGCAGGGUGAGUCGACCCCUAAGGCGAGGCCGAAAGGCGUAGUCGAUGGGAAACAGGUUAAUAUUCCUGUACUUGGUGUUACUGCGAAGGGGGGACGGAGAAGGCUAUGUUGGCCGGGCGACGGUUGUCCCGGUUUAAGCGUGUAGGCUGGUUUUCCAGGCAAAUCCGGAAAAUCAAGGCUGAGGCGUGAUGACGAGGCACUACGGUGCUGAAGCAACAAAUGCCCUGCUUCCAGGAAAAGCCUCUAAGCAUCAGGUAACAUCAAAUCGUACCCCAAACCGACACAGGUGGUCAGGUAGAGAAUACCAAGGCGCUUGAGAGAACUCGGGUGAAGGAACUAGGCAAAAUGGUGCCGUAACUUCGGGAGAAGGCACGCUGAUAUGUAGGUGAAGUCCCUCGCGGAUGGAGCUGAAAUCAGUCGAAGAUACCAGCUGGCUGCAACUGUUUAUUAAAAACACAGCACUGUGCAAACACGAAAGUGGACGUAUACGGUGUGACGCCUGCCCGGUGCCGGAAGGUUAAUUGAUGGGGUCAGCGCAAGCGAAGCUCUUGAUCGAAGCCCCGGUAAACGGCGGCCGUAACUAUAACGGUCCUAAGGUAGCGAAAUUCCUUGUCGGGUAAGUUCCGACCUGCACGAAUGGCGUAAUGAUGGCCAGGCUGUCUCCACCCGAGACUCAGUGAAAUUGAACUCGCUGUGAAGAUGCAGUGUACCCGCGGCAAGACGGAAAGACCCCGUGAACCUUUACUAUAGCUUGACACUGAACAUUGAGCCUUGAUGUGUAGGAUAGGUGGGAGGCUUUGAAGUGUGGACGCCAGUCUGCAUGGAGCCGGCCUUGAAAUACCACCCUUUAAUGUUUGAUGUUCUAACGUUGACCCGUAAUCCGGGUUGCGGACAGUGUCUGGUGGGUAGUUUGACUGGGGCGGUCUCCUCCUAAAGAGUAACGGAGGAGCACGAAGGUUGGCUAAUCCUGGUCGGACAUCAGGAGGUUAGUGCAAUGGCAUAAGCCAGCUUGACUGCGAGCGUGACGGCGCGAGCAGGUGCGAAAGCAGGUCAUAGUGAUCCGGUGGUUCUGAAUGGAAGGGCCAUCGCUCAACGGAUAAAAGGUACUCCGGGGAUAACAGGCUGAUACCGCCCAAGAGUUCAUAUCGACGGCGGUGUUUGGCACCUCGAUGUCGGCUCAUCACAUCCUGGGGCUGAAGUAGGUCCCAAGGGUAUGGCUGUUCGCCAUUUAAAGUGGUACGCGAGCUGGGUUUAGAACGUCGUGAGACAGUUCGGUCCCUAUCUGCCGUGGGCGCUGGAGAACUGAGGGGGGCUGCUCCUAGUACGAGAGGACCGGAGUGGACGCAUCACUGGUGUUCGGGUUGUCAUGCCAAUGGCACUGCCCGGUAGCUAAAUGCGGAAGAGAUAAGUGCUGAAAGCAUCUAAGCACGAAACUUGCCCCGAGAUGAGUUCUCCCUGACUCCUUGAGAGUCCUGAAGGAACGUUGAAGACGACGACGUUGAUAGGCCGGGUGUGUAAGCGCAGCGAUGCGUUGAGCUAACCGGUACUAAUGAACCGUGAGGCUUAACCUUACAACGCCGAAGCUGUU
rnacentral:rRNA from 1 species